rnacentral:rRNA from 1 species
GACGAACGCUGGCGGCGUGCUUAACACAUGCAAGUCGAACGGAAAGGCCCUGCUUGCAGGGUACUCGAGUGGCGAACGGGUGAGUAACACGUGGGUGAUCUGCCCUGCACUUCGGGUUAAGCCUGGGAAACUGGGUCUAAUACCGGCUAGGAGCCAUUUUUAGCGUGAUGGUUGGAAAGUUUUUUCGGUGUAGGAUGAGCUGGCGGCCUAUCAGCUUGUUGGUGGGGUAAUGGCCUACCAAGGCGGCGACGGGUAGCCGGCCUGCGAGGGUGGACGGCGACAUUGGGACUGAGGGACGGCCCAGACUCCUACGGGAGGCAGCAGUGGGGAAUAUUGCACAAUGGGCGCAAGCCUGAUGCAGCGACGCCGCGUGGGGGAUGACGGCCUUCGGGUUGUAAACUCCUUUCGCUAGGGACGAAGCUUUUUGUGACGGUACCUAGAUAAGAAGCACCGGCUAACUACGUG